GUUUUUAAACAUUUACUUAUUUAUCUAUUAGGUCAGAACAUCUCUUCUUUUUCCUGCUCCUUUGUUUGUUCACUUGACUCUUGGUCAGUAUUCUGUAAGCUCCACAUACAGAAUGUGGAGCGUACAUUGUAAUUGUACAUUGUACAAUGUACAAUGUAAGCGUACAUUGGGGAAAUGAAAGGUCACACCACGCUUCAAGAAAGUGAUUCUCUUGGUAACCAGGACCAAGCCAGUUAUGCCCAUUCAACAUAUUCUCUUUUAGAAGACACAGUUUCUCAUAGCCCUUUGAGGCCUGCUUAAAUUCUGACAUUUUUCUAUUGGAAAAUGAACUGAAGUUAUCAACCUACUUUCACCACACAGAUCACUAGUAACUAGAGCUGAAUUAUAAGCUUAUAUGACAACUAUUCCGUGAGACAAAAGCUUUCUCACCAUUAUGCACUUGAAGCAAUCUGGUUUCUCUACCAAGACUCUUCUAUUUUCAUGAGCAAUUUAAAAAUCACUUACAAUUCAGAAUAUAGGUCACCGCUUAUUUAGUUUUUUAAGAUAGUUGCAAGCAGUGUCUACUCCAUGUCAAAAACUGUUUCUUAUUUUCAUGGGACUCAAAUUGCCAAUGGUUCUCUGGAAAAGAAAGGUCAUUCAAAAAGAAAUGGAACGAGAGAGUGGCUAAUAUAAAGAACUACACUUGUUUUAAAAAAUGAAAAGCAAAACCUGAGAAAAACACUUAGAAGCUAAAUACUAUUAGAAUGAGAGUGCUUCUGAGGAAACCACUUUUAGAGGAACUGCUUUUGCUUCUGUAUCAGUCCCUCACCUCUGUCGUCUCAUCACUGAUCUGUUUGCCUCUGCUUUCUAUGUUCCAGAAACCCUUGCUGUCCUGGCCUGCAGGUGGGGUCCUCCUGGAUUUCCAGAGUUGCUAUGUGUUUUAUUUUUAAAAUUUAUACUGUCAUUUCAAUGGGACCUGGGAAGAUGGAGAGGAAAUGUGGAUAUAGUCCACUUUGUUGAAUAAAUCUUUUAUGUUUGUACUCAAAUCAGUUAUCUCCCAAAAUGAGUUUUUUCUUUGAUACUUACUUCUGUUUUUCUUUGGAUAAUAUUUGGUAUUUUAUAUCCAAUUCUUCAAUUAGCUUGAUUUUUUCCCCAAAUAUGUAACCUAUUAUCCUAGGAACAUUUACAAAAUUACUAAUCAUUUCCUCUCUUUUUUCCUUUAAGAAAACUCAUAUAUGCACAUUUAUAUAAAAACAGGUCUAAAAUAUAAUGAUUAAAAAAUAAGUUGAGAUAAAUUAUGUUUGAAAAGAGGGGAGAUAUAUAGGUCACUAUAUGUUAUGCAUUAUAUAUACUUGUGUAUAAAUAGAAACAUUAUGGGAGGCUGGAAAUCAAACUGUUAAUUUCUUUUGGAGAGUAGAAAUGGGAGAAAGUCAGAGGUGAGGGAUUCAUAAUUUCAAGAGCAGAGAUAGUGUGGACCAAGACCAACAACAGCCAACAGGUGUUUGGCAGAAAAAAAAGGGCUGGGGCCAGCUGACUCUAGAGUUUGCUGAAAAAUACAAUCACUAGUGCACAUGUUCAUAAAUUGAACAUUCAAAAAAUAGCUAACAUGUAUCAAAAUCUUACUAUAUGCCAGGUACUGUUCUCAUAGCUUUAUAUGUACUGAUUCAUUUACUCCUCAUAAAAAAUUUAUGCAGAUGAGUACACUCAUCGCAAUUGUAAAGACAGGGAAACUGGAGCACAAAGUGGUCAGAUAAAUUUUUCUGUAUACGCCAUGGAUGGCACAGCCAGAAUCUGACCCCAGUUGAAGUGGUAUUAGAGCCCUCCUUAAUUGCUGUUUUCUAUUGCACAGACUUAACUAUCACCUCCUGAAACUUUUCUCACACCCUUCUUACAGUCACCAGUGCUCCCAAAAGCAGAACCUUCAUUCCAACAAUAGAAAUGAAAAGCUUCACUUUGAAGAAAUGAAAUAUACUUUAAAGAUAAAUACUACGUUAUUUAAACAUUCAUUUAAAAGUAUAGCCUGGAAAUGAAGAGUCAACAAAUAUUUGAGAAAAAUCUAGGGCAAAGAAAACAUAAGUUCAAACAAAGAGAUUUAACUCCCAAGAAAACAGAGUUAACACAGAAAGUAGAAUGAAAUAUCAAAACAAGUCUACUUCCUAUUUUCAGAGAUACAGGGGUUGUGUUCACACAUACUAUAUACAGAUUGGAGUUCUUGAUUAAAACAUGGUUACUGAAAUUAAAAAUGGAUUAUGUAACAGAAUGAACAUAAAAGAUCAAGUUAGUGAAUUGCAAGACUAAGGAAUUCUCUCAAGAUAUCAUGUGAAGGCAAGAUCAUUAAAGUACAAGAACAAAUUUUGGAAUAGAAUCAGAAAUUCUGUAAUAGACAGAAUAAUGAUCCCACAGCAAUGUGCCACAUCCUGCAUCCUAAUCCCUAGAACCUGUGAAUAUGUUACCUUACACAACAAAAGUGACUUUGCAGCCGUGAGUAAAUUUGGGAUCUUGAUAUGGGGAGAUUAUCCUGGAUUACUUACCUAGGCCCAGUGUAAGGGCUUACAUAGGUAGGGUCCCCUGUGUAGGGUCCUUUUAUGUGAAAGAGCAAGGAGGAUCAUAGGCUUAAAACAGAUUUAUUAUCUUAAAGUUCUGUAGUUCAGAAAUCUGAAAUGGGGUUCACUGGGAUAAAAUCAAGGAGUUGGCAGGGCUGCAUUCCUUUCUGGAGGAUUCUCUAGGGAAGGAUCCAUUUCCUUGCCCCUUCCAGCUUGUAGAGGCUACAGCCGUUCCUUGGCUCUUGGUGUCCAUCUUCAAAGCUAGCAACAGUGAGCAGGGCUCUCACAUCACAUUGUUGACCUCUUCUUUUGACUCCUUCAUCCCAAGAGUCCAUCCCAAGAGUCCAGAACAAUCUCCCUAUUUUAAGGUCAGCUGAUUAGCCACCUUAAUUUCAUCUACUAUCUUGAAUUCCCCUUUGCCACAUGAUGUAACAUAUUCAUAGGUUCUGGGAAUGGGCGCAUGGACAUCUUUAGAGGACUGAUAUUCUGCCUGCUAAUCUCACCCCUACUCCUAAUUUUAGAUGCCUCCCGUCUUUACAAUGUAGAUCAUUUCACGCAUGCCCAUCGUCUACCUUUAAACUUUCCCAUUCCAAUAUAGUCUUGGAAGAUGGGGUUUGGUGGGAGGCAGAGGGUUGUUUUUUAGUGUACAAAGACAAAAAUAUACUGGGUGUCCUGUCCAGUGCACCCUUCAGGGAUUUUCAGCCUUUUGUGAUCUUUGAACUACUUUGCAAUUUUUUAAGUUGUAGAAAACUGAUAAUAAUGCAAAUGACUUUGUUUAUAGAAAUGCAAGUAUUGUCUAGGGGAAUACAAUUGAUUAUUACCCUAUUGAUAUUGACCUGUUUUGCCAGUUUGUAUUCAUUUUCAUAUUAUUCAUUUCAUUUUGCCAGUUUGUAUUCAUUAUAGUCUUAGCAUGUCUAUAUAUUUGUUUUCUCUUCGAAUAUUCCUUUGAAAUGAGUUGUAACAUUUUAUCGAUUCCUUCAUUAAUGAGUUAAAUAAAAUUUUGGUCACCAUUAAUAAUUAAA